UGGUAAUGCCGGAUGCUCCAGUUGAUCGCAUGGUCUUCUGGGAAAGCUUUCGCGGUAUGGGAUGGGGUCGCGUCCUAUCAGCUUGACGGCGGGGUAACGGCCCACCGUGGCUUCGACGGGUAGCCGGCCUGAGAGGGCGACCGGCCACAUUGGGACUGAGAUACGGCCCAGACUCCUACGGGAGGCAGCAGUGGGGAAUAUUGCACAAUGGGCGCAAGCCUGAUGCAGCGACGCCGCGUGAGGGAUGGAGGCCUUCGGGUUGUAAACCUCUUUUAUCGGGGAGCAAGCGAGAGUGAGUUUACCCGUUGAAUAAGCACCGGCUAACUACGUGCCAGCAGCCGCGGUAAUACGUAGGGUGCAAGCGUUAUCCGGAAUUAUUGGGCGUAAAGGGCUCGUAGGCGGUUCGUCGCGUCCGGUGUGAAAGUCCAUCGCUUAACGGUGGAUCCGCGCCGGGUACGGGCGGGCUUGAGUGCGGUAGGGGAGACUGGAAUUCCCGGUGUAACGGUGGAAUGUGUAGAUAUCGAAAAAAAAC
rnacentral:rRNA from 1 species